rnacentral:rRNA from 1 species
CAGCAGCCACGGGAAUACGUAGGUGGCAAGCGUUGUCCGGAUUUAUUGGGCGUAAAGCGAGCGCAGGCGGUUUCUUAAGUCUGAUGUGAAAGCCCCCGGCUCAACCGGGGAGGGUCAUUGGAAACUGGGAAACUUGAGUGCAGAAGAGGAGAGUGGAAUUCCAUGUGUAGCGGUGAAAUGCGUAGAUAUAUGGAGGAACACCAGUGGCGAAGGCGGCUCUCUGGUCUGUAACUGACGCUGAGGCUCGAAAGCGUGGGGAGCAAACAGGAUUAGAUACCCCAGUAGUCCCUGUCUCUUAUAC